AUCGUCGUUUUCCACCAUUUCAGCGCCGCCGACCACUGCAAACGGGGUCCUCUACGGCUCUACUCCAACUCCCCUAGCAGCCGAUGACACGGCCGCUGCGUGAGCGUUUUGUCAUUUGUUUUCGUUAGUCGUUCUCUUUGCUUUUUCCCACCGUUGUAAUCUACGUAGUAGAACACGUUGACGACGAUAUCGCAUCGGGCUUGCAGUUAGUCACGUAACAAACGAGUACCGGUUUUUUAAAUUUUCAAGUUUUCACAUUCUUGUCGCCGCAGCAGGAGUACAAGCAAGUGUACGCCGCCCACACGAUUCGCCGAAAUAUAAUUUUGAAACUUGUCAAGACUUAAAGAAACAUGUCUCAUCGUGACUGGGAUCAAUCAUGCAAAGUGUACAUUGGUAAUUUGGGGCAAAAUGGUACUAAACAUGAAAUUGAAGCAUCAUUCACAAAGUAUGGUCCAUUGAAAAAUACUUGGAUUGCUAGAAAUCCACCUGGAUUUGCUUUUGUUGAAUUUGAAGAUCCUAGGGAUGCUGAAGAUGCAGUCAGGGGACUUGACGGAACCCGCAUCUGUGGAGUACGUGUGCGUGUUGAAAUGUCUAGCAAUAGACCUCGCGGUGGACGCGAUGGUCGUGGUGGUGGUGGAGGUGGCGAUCGCAGAGGAGGUGGUGGUGGCGGAGGAGGUGGUGGAUACAACAGAGGUCCUCCACGCUACAAUGAUAGGUAUAAUGACAGGAAAAGGAUCAUUGGUUUUCGCCCAUACUAAAAAAAUUUAUCAUCCCAUCUUAUAAAAAAAUCUCACACUGACAAUAUGACUUGACCAACAAUUUUCGUACUUCGCUCCAUCAAUUCUACCGAAUUGAAAUACCGUAACGUGUUAUUUAACAUCAUGCGGGUGGAAACAGCCUAUUCUACACUAUUCUACAAUAUUCUUCCAACGCCUCUACCCUACGAUCAACUCUUCACAAGCACUUGUAUGCUUUCUUGGCUGUUUUAACGUCUCCACUCACACUCUCCAUCUAAACAACAUAUGGUAUUAUUUAUUCUUUCAUUGAAAAUUGAGAGUUGUAAGUUAAAAGAUCACGAUCGCGAUCUCCUAAACGCCGUGCACCGCCUUCACGGUCACGUUCAAGGAGCUACUCACCAAGACAACGCCGUACGUCACAUUCCUAAGAUAAUAAUUAUAAACAACGAUGAUACAGGUUCCAUUUAAUAUGAACUUUAGUACGCCCCAAUUUAUUAUUGUUCCCUAAAUAUAAAACUUCAAUAUUUUCUGUUAGAAUUCUACAGAAAUCUUAAUGAUUUUUUUUUUUUUUUAAUGAUCUAAUUUGUAAUUUUUUUUACUCAAGAUCACUUGGUAUCUCCAAAAGAUCACAUCAAAUUUGAUAGCUUUAUAAUAAGUUGACUUUUGUAAGUUAUUUUUAUUCAUUGUACCUACCAUUAGUUUGGUUUACUUAAAAUAUACAAUACUCUUAGAUAAAUAA